UACGAAGGGGGCUAGCGUUGCUUGGAAUUACUGGGCGUAAAGGGCGCGUAGGCGGAUAUCUAAGUUGGGGGUGAAAUCCCGGGGCUCAACCUCGGAAUUGCCUUCAAAACUGGAUAUCUUGAGUUCGGGAGAGGUGAGUGGAACUCCGAGUGUAGAGGUGAAAUUCGUAGAUAUUCGGAAGAACACCAGUGGCGAAGGCGACUCACUGGCCCGAUACUGACGCUGAGGCGCGAAAGCGUGGGGAGCAAACAGG
rnacentral:rRNA from 1 species